rnacentral:rRNA from 1 species
GACGAACGCUGGCGGUGUGCUUCACACAUGCAAGUCGAACGAGGUAGCAAUACCUAGUGGCGGACGGGUGAGUAACGCGUGGGAAUCUGCCUUUAGAUGGGGAUAACGGGUGGAAAGACUCGCUAAUACCGCAUAUGACGAAAGUUGAAAGGAGUAAUCCGUCUAAAGAUGAGCCCGCGUCCGGAUUAGCUAGUUGGUAGAGUAAAAGCCUACCAAGGCGACGAUCGGUAGCUGGUCUGAGAGGAUGAUCAGCCACAAUGGGACUAGAGACACGGCCCAUACUCCUACGGGAGGCAGCAGUGGGAAUUUUACGCAAUGGGCGAAAGCCUGACGUAGCGACACCGCGUGAGCGAAGAAGCCC